rnacentral:rRNA from 1 species
GCACCAGUGGGGAAUAUUGGCAAUGGGCGCAAGCCUGAUCCAGCCAUGCCGCGUGUGUGAAGAAGGCCUUCGGGUUGUAAAGCACUUUCUGGCGGGGAGGAAGGGCGGUAGGUUAAUACCYYGCUGUUUUGACGUUACCCGCAGAAUAAGCACCGGCUAACUUCGUGCCAGCAGCCGCGGUAAUACGGAGGGUGCAAGCGUUAAUCGGAAUUACUGGGCGUAAAGCGUGCNAGGGUGGUUUGUUAAGUCGGAUGUGAAAUCCCCGGGCUCAACCUGGGAACUGCAUCCGAAACUGGCGAGCUAGAGUCUUGUAGAGGGGGGUAGAAUUCCGGGUGUAGCGGUGAAAUGCGUAGAGAUCGGGAGGAACACCGGUGGCGAAGGCGGCCCCCUGGCCAACACUGACNCUCAGGUGCGAAAGCGUCGGAGCAGC